CCUACGGGAGGCAGCAGUGGGGAAUAUUGGGCAAUGGGCGCAAGCCUGACCCAGCAACGCCGCGUGAAGGAAGAAGGCUUGCGGGGUGGAAACGGCUGGUGGCAGGGAAGAGAAGAAGACGGUACCAGACGAAUAAGCCACGGCUAACUACGUGCCAGCAGCCGCGGUAAUACGUAGGUGGCAAGCGUUGUCCGGAUUUACUGGGUGUAAAGGGCGUGUAGCCGGGUUGACAAGUGAGCUGUGAAAUCCUGCGGCUUAACCGCAGAACUGCAUUUGAAACUGUUGAUCUUGAGUACUGGAGAGGCAGGCGGAAUUCCUAGUGUAGCGGUGAAAUGCGUAGAUAUUUGGAGGAACACCAGUGGCGAAGGCGGUCUGCUGGACCGCAACUGACGGUGAGGCGCGAAAGCGUGGGGAGCAAACCGGAUUAGCUACCCGUGUCGUC
rnacentral:rRNA from 1 species